UUCAUAUAAAAUGCAUCAGGUGCUGGGUAAAUGAAUUCCCAGCUCAAAAGGGAAGUCCGGUGAAAUUCCGGCGCGGUCCCGCCACUGUGAUGGGGAGCGACUUAUCAAAUUGCCACUAUUUCAUAUCGAAAUGGGAAGGGAUAAGAAGCGAUGAACCUAAGUCAGGAGACCUGCCUGUUGUAUUCGCUUGUA
rnacentral:ncRNA from 2 species